CAAGUUUCAUCAUGUAUAUAUAUAUAUUAAAAAAAAUCGACGUAUUUAAGUUGGCGUAACGAACAUGUACCUGCUUUUUGUGACAACCGUUAAGGAGUAUGCUGUCAUGCGUUUUCGAGAGAUUGACGGAUGAAAGUUUUUUUCCUGAAAGAUAUCACCAAUUACUCAACGCUGUGUAACUGUGAGGGAUAAAGAAAUGCACAAACGAGGCAACUUUCUAGUGAUCAAUACCUUAUUUAAGAUUUGGCGACAGUAACGAACAUUUCAAUUUGUUGAUUCCGUUACCGAAAAUUAAAAAAAAAAAUAAAAAAAUUCUGAUAACAUUUUUUAAUUAAAAGAGUGUUGGUCCACAUGGAUUAAAAAUAUACAGCAAAUAAAUCUGGAACUCAUACAGGAAUUCGUACACACACCGGCGACAGCACAUGCACCCUCUUAUUGAAAAUGCGUGUAAGU
rnacentral:lncRNA from 1 species